AGCAUGGAACGAGUGGCGGACGGGUGAGUAACACGUGGGUAACCUGCCCUUAAGUGGGGGAUAACAUUUGGAAACAGAUGCUAAUACCGCAUAGAUCCAAGAACCGCAUGGUUCUUGGCUGAAAGAUGGCGUAAGCUAUCGCUUUUGGAUGGACCCGCGGCGUAUUAGCUAGUUGGUGAGGUAAUGGCUCACCAAGGCGAUGAUACGUAGCCGAACUGAGAGGUUGAUCGGCCACAUUGGGACUGAGACACGGCCCAAACUCCUACGGGAGGCAGCAGUAGGGAAUCUUCCACAAUGGACGCAAGUCUGAUGGAGCAACGCCGCGUGAGUGAAGAAGGCUUUCGGGUCGUAAAACUCUGUUGUUGGAGAAGAAUGGUCGGCAGAGUAACUGUUGUCGGCGUGACGGUAUCCAACCAGAAAGCCACGGCUAACUACGUGCCAGCAGCCGCGGUAAUACGUAGGUGGCAAGCGUUAUCCGGAUUUAUUGGGCGUAAAGCGAGCGCAGGCGGUUUUUUAAGUCUGAUGUGAAAGCCCUCGGCUUAACCGAGGAAGCGCAUCGGAAACUGGGAAACUUGAGUGCAGAAGAGGACAGUGGAACUCCAUGUGUAGCGGUGAAAUGCGUAGAUAUAUGGAAGAACACCAGUGGCGAAGGCGGCUGUCUGGUCUGUAACUGACGCUGAGGCUCGAAAGCAUGGGUAGCGAACAGGAUUAGAUACCCUGGUAGUCCAUGCCGUAACGAUGAAUGCUAGGUGUUGGAGGGUUUCCGCUCUUCAGUGCCGCAGCUAACGCAUUAAGCAUUCCGCCUGGGGAGUACGACCGCAAGGUUGAACUCAAAGGAAUUUGACGGGGGCCCGCACUAGCGGUGGAGCAUGUGGUUUAAUUUCGAAAGCAACGCGAAACCUUACCAGGUCUUGAACAUUCUUUUGAUCAACUGAAUGAAUCAAGUUCCCCUU
rnacentral:rRNA from 2 species